rnacentral:misc_RNA from 1 species
GAUGAAGAACGUAGCGAAAUGCGAUAAGUAAUGUGAAUUGCAGAAUUCAGUGAAUCAUCGAAUCUUUGAACGCACAUUGCGCCCGCCAGUAUUCUGGCGGGCAUGCUUGUCUGAGCGUCAUUUCAACCCUCAUGCCCCUAGGGCGUGGUGUUGGGGAUCGGCCAAAGCCCGCGAGGGACGGCCGGCCCCUAAAUCUAGUGGCGGACCCGUCGUGGCCUCCUCUGCGAAGUAGUGAUAUUCCGCAUCGGAGAGCGAUGAGCCCCUGCCGUUAAACCCCCAACUUUCCAAGGUUGACCUCAGAUCAGGUAGGAAUACCCGCUGAACUUAAGCAUAUCAAUAAGCGGAGGA